UAUACAUGCAAGUAGAACGCUGAAGGAGGAGCUUGCUUCUCUGGAUGAGUUGCGAACGGGUGAGUAACGCGUAGGUAACCUGCCUGGUAGCGGGGGAUAACUAUUGGAAACGAUAGCUAAUACCGCAUAAGAGUGGAUGUUGCAUGACAUUUGCUUAAAAGGUGCACUUGCAUCACUACCAGAUGGACCUGCGUUGUAUUAGCUAGUUGGUGGGGUAACGGCUCACCAAGGCGACGAUACAUAGCCGACCUGAGAGGGUGAUCGGCCACACUGGGACUGAGACACGGCCCAGACUCCUACGGGAGGCAGCAGUAGGGAAUCUUCGGCAAUGGACGGAAGUCUGACCGAGCAACGCCGCGUGAGUGAAGAAGGUUUUCGGAUCGUAAAGCUCUGUUGUAAGAGAAGAACGAGUGUGAGAGUGGAAAGUUCACACUGUGACGGUAUCUUACCAGAAAGGGACGGCUAACUACGUGCCAGCAGCCGCGGUAAUACGUAGGUCCCGAGCGUUGUCCGGAUUUAUUGGGCGUAAAGCGAGCGCAGGCGGUUAGAUAAGUCUGAAGUUAAAGGCUGUGGCUUAACAAUAGUAGGCUUUGGAAACUGUUUAACUUGAGUGCAAGAGGGGAGAGUGGAAUUCCAUGUGUAGCGGUGAAAUGCGUAGAUAUAUGGAGGAACACCGGUGGCGAAAGCGGCUCUCUGGCUUGUAACUGACGCUGAGGCUCGAAAGCGUGGGGAGCAAACAGGAUUAGAUACCCCGGUAGUCCA
rnacentral:rRNA from 1 species